rnacentral:rRNA from 1 species
UGGGGAAUAUUGGACAAUGGGCGAAAGCCUGAUCCAGCCAUGCCGCGUGUGUGAAGAAGGUCUUCGGAUUGUAAAGCACUUUAAGUUGGGAGGAAGGGCAGUAAGCGAAUACCUUGCUGUUUUGACGUUACCGACAGAAUAAGCACCGGCUAACUCUGUGCCAGCAGCCGCGGUAAUACAGAGGGUGCAAGCGUUAAUCGGAAUUACUGGGCGUAAAGCGCGCGUAGGUGGUUCGUUAAGUUGAAUGUGAAAGCCCCGGGCUCAACCUGGGAAGUGCAUCCAAAACUGGCGAGCUAGAGUAGGGCAGAGGGUGGUGGAAUAUCCUGUGUAGCGGUGAAAAGCGUAGAUAUAGGAAGGAACACCAGGGGCGAAGGCGACCACCUGGGGUCAUACUGACACUGAGGUGCGAAAGCGUGGGGGGGAAACAAG